rnacentral:rRNA from 1 species
AUUGAACGCUGGCGGCAGGCCUAACACAUGCAAGUCGAACGGUAACAGGAAGAAGCUUGCUUCUUUGCUGACGAGUGGCGGACGAGUGAGUAAUGUCUGGGAAACUGCCUGAUGGAGGGGGAUAACUACUGGAAACGGUAGCUAAUACCGCAUAAUGUCGCAAGACCAAAGAGGGGGACCUUCGGGCCUCUUGCCAUCGGAUGUGCCCAGAUGGGAUUAGCUAGUAGGUGGGGUAACGGCUCACCUAGGCGACGAUCCCUAGCUGGUCUGAGAGGAUGACCAGCCACACUGGAACUGAGACACGGUCCUGACUCCUACGGGAGGCAGCAGUGGGGAAUAUUGCACAAUGGGCGCAAGCCUGAUGCAGCUAUGCCGCGUGUAUGAAGAAGGCCUUCGGGUUGUAAAGUACUUUCAGCGGGGAGGAAGGGAGUAAAGUUAAUACCUUUGCUCAUUGACGUUACCCGCAGAAGAAGCACCGGCUAACUCCGUG